rnacentral:lncRNA from 1 species
AUUAUUUGAAAAAAAUUAAAUUUGUGCUGUUUGAAAAUAUUCCGUUGCAUAUAUUCAUUCUAUAUAGUUGUCCUAUUUAAAUAUAAUAUUAAUUAUAGCUUGCACGCUUGAAGAUUAUUGUAAAGUUUUGUGUUUAUUUAAAAUCAUAAAUUUGUCCAUUUGCUUUUUUUAUUCUUUGGAUAUUAUAUAUAUUAUUUGAGUAUUUGCUAUUGCUGUGAGAAGCGUCGUCCAAAUAUGCUUUCUGCUCUGUCUGUCUCCUGCUGCUGCUCCCAAUUGUUUACCUUUAAGUAGUUCAUGAAUGGCCAGGUAUUUGGUGAGUUUAUUGAUUUUUUUUUUUUUUCAUUUAAAUUUGUAUUGAGAAUCAUUUUUAAAUUUGCCAUAAAUUUUUUAACAAUUUUUUAAAAUUUUGUUUUGAAAAAUGAAACACCCGCAAUUUUUCAAACUUUGUUUUGUCGAAAAGGAAUUUGUUUUUUUCAUUUUUGCAACAAAUCCUGGCUUUUCAUUUUAUAGUAUACCUUUCAUUCCUUUAUUAAUCCCUUUCCACCGUCCAUUUAUUCCAUCCUAUAGGCCCAACAGAGGGAGGAAGCAUACGAGACGCAGAUCCGCUCCAUGACUUCCAGAUUGAAAGAGGUAAGUGUAAUCCACUUCCAUAACUGAUAAUGAACCGUCAAACUUUUUGUACACAGGCCUUACAGAAAGAAGAUGCAUACGAGACACAAAUAAGACAAAUGACUUCCAGAUUACAAGAGGUAGGGCGAGGAAUUUUGUAAGAACAAUUUUAAUCAGAUUCAGGAAAAACUAUCAAUUAGUAAAAAUAUUCUUUCUGCAAUCACAUUAAGUAGAAGGCAUGAAAACUGUCCUUGGAUCCUAACUAAUAUGACAUGAAAACAUUCUCAAAAUUUUUCACCUUUAGUCCACUUAAUUAUAGAACUAAGAGUAUAUCUUUGAGUCGUUAUUCGUUUGAGAUAAAUUUAAAAUUGUUUUCAUCUUUAGAAAAGUCAUAUAUAUUUAUUGAUAUGCGCUUUCAAAUCAAAUAUUUGACGGAGAAAUCUUUCCAAUAAAUCCAAGUUAACUUUUUGACAUAUACUAUAUAUUGCUAAAAUUUUUGAAUAUUUGAUAGUAAAUCUCUGUAUUUGCGAAUUUAACAUAUCGAAUUCACUUAUUCGUGAUAAAAUAUUAGCUACUAUUCUUCAAUAUUCGUAAGUCGAAAUUUGCUCUUUCACAAUUACAUCUGACUUAUCCUAAUCACUUUCAACAGACUUGUCACGAUUGUUGUGGAAGAUGCACAAAAUGAAAUUUUACUAUGACAUAGUAUCUCUUGCAUGCAGCUUUCCCGACUCUCAUUUAUGCACUUGGAUGCAUUUCUUGAUUCUCUCCUUUUAUGAUAUUGAGAAGCUGGUUGCUAGUCAUUACCAAUUAUUUAUAUUCAUUAAACUUUAUGCUGUUUUACAGCUAAAGUGUAAUUCUGUCAUUGUGAUUGGUUCAAAAUGCAAAGGAAAUGAUUAUUCUAUAGCUAGGAAUGGACAAAAUUUUGGACGGUAUUUUCCCUGGUUGCUCGUAUUAUUUUAAUUGCAAUAUAGAUAUUUGACUUCAUGCUAAUUUAUGGUUUUCUAAUGCUAAUUUAUUCAUUUUCAUUGUUUUACUGUAAUAGAUAUUUUCUGAAAAUAUCAAGUUCGUUCUUCUUCAGUAUAUCAAAAUAAAAAAUAAAUUUUUGGCAAUAAUUUGGCCCUUUGGGGUUUUGAUAUUUUAUUUUUUAUUUAUUGUUAAAAUAUGUUAAUUUAGAUGGAUGAUAUAAGAAGUGCUGGGAGACGGCAUGGGAGGAUGCCUCUUUUUUUUUGUGGAUGACAAGUCGUGGUUGUGUUUGUGGUAUUUGUUUGCAAUUGUGGUGUUUGUUUGUGGUAGUGGACAUGUUUUUUUUUUAGGAGGACUGUGGAGGUUACGUUGGAAGCGUUUUGUUGUGAUUUUAAUUGUAGAGGCCAUACAGUUGGUGUCUUCCCUGGAAUUAACUGGAAACUAAUUAUAAUUGUUCUAGUUACUGAUUCAUUUGUAAGUAAAAUUUUGUUAAUAAUAAAUGGUUGGAGAGAAAAAUGGAGUUUUUUAUUGAAGCGGCAAAGUCUUUUCAGUGAUGGUUGGAGGUCAGAGAAGUUCAUCUUCAUAUAAAGGUUUAUACAGCAAGAAAGAAUGAGCAUGAGGGGGCGCAGGGUUAGAACUUUAGUCGAGGCUCGGGCGAGGGCCCAGACCUCACAUACUUAAUGAAGUUUCAUGUUAUUGCCAACUUAUGUAUCAUUGCUGCAGUGGUAACUAUUGCUACAAACAUACUGGAAUGCUACUAUACGAAGGAAUAGCGGCACAAGUGAGCGGACCAUUCUUUAGCUUGUACACGGGGCAGGUUUAUUGGCUAAAGUAGGAGUAGCC